rnacentral:rRNA from 1 species
AUUGAACGCUGGCGGCAUGCCUUACACAUGCAAGUCGAACGGCAGCACGGGUGCUUGCACUGGUGGCGAGUGGCGAACGGGUGAGUAAUAUAUCGGAACGUACCUUAUCGUGGGGGGAUUAACGCAGCGAAAGCUGCGCUAAUACCGCAUACGCCCUGAGGGGGAAAGCGGGGGACCGUAAGGCCUCGCGCGAUUAGAGCGGCCGAUAUCUGAUUAGCUUGUUGGUGGGGUAAAAGCCUACCAAGGCAACGAUCAGUAGCUGGUCUGAGAGGACGACCAGCCACACUGGGACUGAGACACGGCCCAGACUCCUACGGGAGGCAGCAGUGGGGAAUUUUGGACAAUGGGGGAAACCCUGAUCCAGCAAUGCCGCGUGUGUGAAGAAGGCCUUCGGGUUGUAAAGCACUUUUGUCAGGAACGAAACGGUGAGGGCUAAUACCCUUUGCUAAUGACGGUACCUGAAGAAUAAGCACCGGCUAACUACGUG